GCAAUACACUGUAUAAUGGUUAACAUGUACGACUCCUUACACUGUAGCGAGUAUGCAAUAUGCUCCCACAAUGUUGUCCACUCCUCUUAAAUUUCUAUAAGUGCACUGUCUAUGUUUCUUGAGUAACGAAUGCAACAAACGCCCACUUCUCAAUCCCAUGCAAAGCUAAACCUAGCCUGUAUAACCCAGCUUGCCUUACAACAUAAAAAGCUUGAUCAUUAAUGGUAUGUUUAAUCUUCGCAUGUCGAUCUACAAUAGGCACCUAUCUCUUGUUAGCAACCUGACCUAGCUAUGUUUGUUUAGCCUGUUCACUGUCUACUUUAAAAAUGUGCAGAAUUAUCGCAUGCUAUGUACAGAAUCAACUGUUUGUAUUACCAGGCUUG